GAGAGAGGAAAACGACGCCGAUUGGCUGGUGGCCGACGCCUUUCGUCAUUCCUACCACUAGAUGACAGCACAAUCGUUGCCUUGGCCUUCUUUUGCCUUCUCGCCUGAUGCCUAUGUAGUUCCACCUCCACCAUAACAGAGAAAAGAGUCGUCGCCCAUUUAGUUGGUUGCUGUGUGCGUUUCGCGUCUCUUCCGUUUUUGUGUGUGGGGCCCAUUUUCGUUUGACUCGAAAGUCAUUCACAUGCAGAUUCGCCAUUCUCGUGCAUUCUCUCUCGAGUGUUUAGAUGAUUGUGCAACUUGUACACUGCUAAUCCCGUUCACAUACCAAACAUCUCGUUUUUUUCAAAAUAUUCAAACCAAAAUAACAUCAGGGAAGCAAACUCGGCUGUUCUGAGUGCAUGUGAGACUGCUGCGUUCUUUUUUUUCAAAGCCUAACCCGUGUGUGCGUCGUUGAUGACGUCAGAAUUUCUAGGCUUUGAUCGACAGUGUUGUGAGUGAGGAAAAGAACACAUCACUUUGUUUAUUGUGGUACUGAGAUUCCCUUUUUUUUUCAUCGACAAGACAUUAAAGAAAAAAGGAGGGAAAGCCUUGACGUUGGUGUUUUGUUGUUUGGCAUCCGCGCGCGCGCGCCAUUUUUCUUUUUGACAACAACAACGUAGUGAGUGAGCCUGUGGUGUAUAUCCAAGCCCCCCCCCGUCCCCCUCCUCCCAACAACAACAACCCCUCUACAAUAGAGUGUUUCGAACAGUUUUCUUUUUGUUUUAUUUUUCAGUCGUCCGAAAUGGGUGCUUUAUGGCCGCACGUUUCAUCCGCCAUUGUCCACUCGUUUGGAUUCCAACGUACCAUAGGAUACAGAAUUAGAUAAUUUCCGCCAAAAAAAAAGAAGCAAAAGAAAAGAAAAACAAGGUUUUUCUUUCUUUUUUUUUUCGCCCUCUGGUUUGUUUGUGCGCUUGGAGAUUGCAGUGAAGCAGAAGGCAAACAAAACGAGCCAGAAAAGUGGUUGAGGAAAAGAAACCGAAGAAGAAGAAGAAAAUGGUGAUGGCACGCAUAGUUGGCCGCUGUUGCCUUUUGGCGUUGGUUGCCGCCAUCGUGAUGAGUUGCUGGACGACAUCCACGGCCAGUCCCGUGGCCCGCACCGAUGCCUUCGAAUGUUUUACGGCCACUCCCUCUCCCCCCUUUUAUUUCUUUCCCGAGUCCGUCCCAGAUCUGCCAUGUUACAGAAUUGUGGAUUUUCUUCUUGACUGACCGCCGUUUAUUCAAUGACAAACGGGGGUCACUAUUUAUUUAUUUUUUUUUUUUUUACGGUUUGUUCUCAACGAGAAAACAUGUAUAUUGAUGCCCGUGUUUUGUUUGCUGAAGCCGCGGUAAACUGGCACGUUAUGUGUUACUAACAAACACGCUGAAUAAGGUAUUUUUUUGUGUGUGACGAAACCCAAUAGCUUUUGCAAAUAUUUGAAGUUGCAGGAGAGGUUUUUCUUUUGGUUUCCAUUUCCCAGGUGUAUUUACCUGGUUCGUUGAGACCAGGGACUUUGAAUGUUUGACCAUUUGAGGUGAAUCAGCCUUUUUUGUAUUUUUCAUUCUGUUAAAAACAAAAGCUGGCGGGCGAAACAAAAAAAUCUACAUCCAUGGCGUCAUUCCAACAGUAUGGACCAGUCCAAUUGUCAAUAAUUUUAAAAGACAAAUCGAAUGAGGAAAAACAAAACACAUAGAUUUUUUUUUUUUAUCUGACGAGGAGGGUCGCAUGGAUAUUUAAUCCGUUUUUGGUAAUGGGAUAGGAUUGAGUGCCGCCCCCGUGACCCAUUACAUGACGUCAGGACUUUGGCACUGAGCUUUAUGUGUUUUUAUUUUGAAAAAAAAACGGGGCAACAAACAAAACACCGAUUCACUUGAUCUAUUGUACAUGACGAAGCGUUGCUUGAUGGAGAGAAGAGAAGAGAAAACGGGGGGGAACUAACUCACAUGUGUUUUCCAAUUCGUUUUGUUAUUGGUCUGGUUAGUUGACGUCAUCGAUUCAUCAUGUAAAAAUAAGGGCGGAGUUCAGGAACGUAGUCUUUAAAGGGACGCCCUCUUUGAUGUUUUAAUAAUUGACGCGUUGUAUUUGAACGAAAAUCGUUCAUGGACCACCGAGCAGCUCCAUCCGCCAUUUUUUUUUAAAAGUAUUUGUCGAUGAGAAACUAGUAGGGAAACGCUUAUCAAAAUCUGUUGCAUGACCGGGUCAUCAAAAGAGAAAAAAAAAAACCUUCCGGAUUCCGAGGUCAUUUUUCUCGCUUGAGUGAAAGAAUCGUAUUCAAAUUGGCGAAAAGGUGUUGGAUGUGAUGGACGGCCAAGCGAAAGAAAAAAGAAAGGGCAAACAAAGAGAAAAUGUAACCCACAUUUUCACUUCGAUGCAAAGUUUUCGUGAAAGGUUUCGCCAGUUGGGUUUCUACAUCCGCAUGGAAGCCAAAUAAGGAGGAAUGAAGCACUGAGAAGUCGACCCCUUCUCUCUCUCUCUCUCUCUCUCAAAGACAACAGUUUCUUUUUCUUUGAAUGUGUUUCACAUUUUUCUCUUUACUCUAAACUUCCCCCUUUUUUUUUUUCUUCUUUCACGGGGUUUGGGUGGGAUAUUAUUAUUUUAAAAUGAAAGUAAAGAAGCUCUAUAACAAACGCCACGGGCCAUGUUUGUGUUCAUUUUUUUUUUGUGCGCAUAACAGCCAAACAAAAACAAAAAAUGAAAUUCCAGAGAUGCGAAACGCUACGUGAAUGUUAUUAUUUUAAGGUAGUAGCCACCGACUGCUGUUUGAAAUGGUCGUAAGCUGGGGGAAAAAUGCGCUUAAGAACGACUUGUAGGGAUUAAAAAAAAAAACUAUUUACUCCACUGUUGUUGUUGUUGACGCUUGAGGGCGCAUUCUAGUUGUUGUUUUUUUUUUCUUCAUUCACGCCCGAACGAAUUACGUUGCGUGUCUGAUGGCCGAAAAACAAAAAUAUGCGUUUCGUGUUGCGCGCGCUCUUUGCAAACGUCAGAUAUUAAAAGGAAUUAUUAAGAAAAAAUAAAAUAAAAACAACAACGGAAAGCUGGUGCGUGUUGUUCUUUAAAAAAAAAAAGUACCCGGUGACUCAUCAAAUGAUGGAAUGAAUACAGAAGAAAAGAUGACAGCGAUAAGCGGGAGGGGGGUAGAGAGAGGACUGAAUGAAUACCAAAGAAGGUGAGAAUAUCGUUGGCAGUAAAUAAAAGCAGAAAAUGUGACAAGUCUGAAAGAGUUGAACGAGUCCGUCCCUUUUUCUCGCUUAUGUUUUUUUCUCCCCGUCAGUUUUGAACUCUACGACCGGUUAAUGUUAAAACGUCCGAUUUGGAAAUGCUUCUUUUGCUGUAAGAUGACCUCCCCGAGAUUCAUAAAAAAAAAAAUGGAGAAGAAAUCGGCAGUCGCAUUCCUUUGCCCGCUGUAUUGUCAGCAUAGCCGAAUUACAUGGACCCAGUCAUUUUUGUUUUUGUGGGGAAAAAAAAGAAAGAUGUUGGUCACGCCCAUUCCCGAGCGGAUCGAUUGCACGACCGUUAAAAAUGGAAUCUGCCUAGCGGUCAGACCUUCUUAACCUCCACCCUAUUCUAGCCGGACAUUAAUAAUAACUAGCUGAACUAACCCACCGUCAGAUCAAUAGUAGUUUGUUUUUGUUUUUUCCCCCC